rnacentral:rRNA from 1 species
AUGGGAACGCGAAGAACCUUACCUAGACUUGACAUCUCCUGAAUAGUGUAGAGAUACAUGAAGCCCUUCGGGGCAGGAAGACAGGUGGUGCAUGGUUGUCGUCAGCUCGUGUCGUGAGAUGUUGGGUUAAGUCCCGCAACGAGCGCAACCCUUAUUACUAGUUGCUACCAUUAAGUUGAGCACUCUAGUGAGACUGCCCGGGUUAACCGGGAGGAAGGCGGGGAUGACGUCAAAUCAUCAUGCCCCUUAUGUCUAGGGCAACACACGUGCUACAAUGGUGAGUACAGAUAGAUGCGAUACCGCAAGGUGGAGCCAAACUCUAAAACUCAUCCCAGUUCGGAUUGUAGGCUGCAACUCGCCUACAUGAAGUUGGAGUUGCUAGUAAUCGCGAAUCAG